GACGAACGCUGGCGGCGUGCUUAACACAUGCAAGUCGAACGGAAAGGCCCUGCUUGCAGGGUACUCGAGUGGCGAACGGGUGAGUAACACGUGGGUGAUCUGCCCUGCACUUCGGGAUAAGCUUGGGAAACUGGGUCUAAUACCGGAUAGGAGCCAUCUUUAGUGUGGUGGUUGGAAAGUUUUUUCGGUGUAGGAUGAGCUCGCGGCCUAUCAGCUUGUUGGUGAGGUAAUGGCCUACCAAGGCGGCGACGGGUAGCCGGCCUGAGAGGGUGUACGGCCACAUUGGGACUGAGAUACGGCCCAGACUCCUACGGGAGGCAGCAGUGGGGAAUAUUGCACAAUGGGCGCAAGCCUGACGCAGCGACGCCGCGUGGGGGAUGAAGGCCUUCGGGUUGUAAACUCCUUUCGCUAGGGACGAAGCUUUUUUGUGACGGUACCUAGAUAAGAAGCACCGGCUAACUACGUG
rnacentral:rRNA from 1 species